GAGAGCGGCGGACGGGUGAGUAACGCGUAGGCAACCUGCCCCAUACACAGGGAUAGCCUCGGGAAACCGGGAUUAAAACCUGAUAAUGCGUGAAGUUCACAUGGACAACUCGCCAAAGAUUUAUCGGUAUGGGAUGGGCCUGCGUCUGAUUAGCUAGUUGGUGGGGUAACGGCCUACCAAGGCGACGAUCAGUAGCCGACCUGAGAGGGUAAUCGGCCACAUUGGAACUGAGACACGGUCCAAACUCCUACGGGAGGCAGCAGUGGGGAAUAUUGCACAAUGGGCGAAAGCCUGAUGCAGCAACGCCGCGUGAGCGAUGAAGGCCUUUGGGUCGUAAAGCUCUGU
rnacentral:rRNA from 1 species